GGAUUUUUUGUAACCGUGCGGCAAAUCGGCGAGAUUCUGUAUAAUUCUUUUUCAAUGUGUAGCAAUUGUUUGUGUUAUUGUUGAUUAUUUUUUCCAGUUUUCAAAUAUUUUGUACCGUUUAGUGCAAUUACGGUUCGUGGAGUUUCUGGAUAUAAUUUAAGCACCCAACGACUCCUGCCGCGGUUGCCAAAUGAUGUUCUGGACUCAUCAACGCAAGCGGCCGAUCUUGGGCUGGGACUACUUCAUGCAGGUGGACUCAAACAUACAGGACUUCAGACAUCCAAAGGUCAUGCUCGCUCAAAGGAACUCAACGAAAAAGAUUGCAGCUUUUUUAUCAACAAACAUGUUGAACAUCGCUGAAUAAGAUGUUGAGGCAAACACCGCCACCACUGCCCAGCACAAGCACAGUUCAAGUUCUUAGAAAACUUGACAGAUUUUCUAACCUGGACCCGGCAGCUCCUGAAUAAGGCAGAUUUCUUCACCUGCAUAAGAUAAUCAACAGCGCGACUUCCAGCUUGUCGAGCUUUAGGGAUCAACACCAUCAGUGCUCAUAAGUUGAUUUCUAGAUUAUGUUUACUGCCGUUCUACGCAUAAUUGUCCCAUGUCAGUUUUGGGCGAUUUUGACUUUAUGACAUUUUUAAGUUUAGUUUGAUGUGUACUUUAAGAAAAACACAUAAAAUCUGGUACAGUAGUUGUUCGGUAACUGGGCGUUGUUUAACUGGGCUGCUUUUUAACUGGGCGCUCGAUAACUGGGCCGUAGCCCAGUUAAAAAGCAGACAAACGUAAAAAAAACCAAAACAAACCAAAAUGACCGAGGGGUUAAUGGAUGCAAAAAACAUAUUCAAUAAAUAAAAAAAAUUUUUUCAAA